GCCAGUGUGGAGUAGUGGGUUGGGUGCUGGACUAUGACUCUGGAGACCAGGAUUCGAUUCCCUGCUUGGGCA